GAAAUAAACUAUUUGAACUUCUAAUUCUAAAUAUUAAUUUUUUUUUAAUUAUUUCU
rnacentral:tRNA from 1 species